CCCACCUCUAGCGUUUCAUAUCCGGGGACUUUGUGGACUCAGCGCCAUUUUGCAAGACUCCUGGAAGGAAGCUGCAUCGCCGCGCCACUUGAGUGAGUGUAUCCACUGAAGGACAUUAUCAGAGCAGCAGAGAGAGCCACAUAAAGGUUACCAGAGGAGGUGUCCAGCAUUUGUAAGCAGUCUAGGUUACUGGUCUCAGGGAGCUGAAAGAUCUUGUAAAGGGGAGUUUGACUGGAGUCAUCAGAGAGAAGAUCUCAGGAGUGUCAGGACUCAAGGUGAGGACUGAAGGGGUCCUGGCAUUUGUUCCCUCCCUGCCCUCCUGUCAGCUAUGAGAAAACCCAAGGGCC
ensembl:lncRNA